rnacentral:rRNA from 1 species
GACGAACGCUGGCGGCGUGCUUAACACAUGCAAGUCGAACGGUAAGGCCCUUCGGGGUACACGAGUGGCGAACGGGUGAGUAACACGUGGGUGAUCUGCCCUGCACUUCGGGAUAAGCCUGGGAAACUGGGUCUAAUACCGGAGUGGACCACUGCCUGCAUGGGUGGUGGUGGAAAGCUUUUGCGGUGUGGGAUGGGCCCGCGGCCUAUCAGCUUGUUGGUGGGGUGAUGGCCUACCAAGGCGACGACGGGUAGCCGGCCUGAGAGGGUGACCGGCCACACUGGGACUGAGAUACGGCCCAGACUCCUACGGGAGGCAGCAGUGGGGAAUAUUGCACAAUGGGCGCAAGCCUGAUGCAGCGACGCCGCGUGAGGGAUGACGGCCUUCGGGUUGUAAACCUCUUUCAGCACCGACGAAGCGCAAGUGACGGUAGGUGCAGAAGAAGGACCGGCCAACUACGUGCCAGCCGCCGCUGUAAAAC